CCGGAGGGUAAGCGUUGCCGGAUCUCGACGACUCCAACCUUCUUUGACAGAGCGACCAUCUCUUCGGCUGUGCUGGUGCACGCGACAACAACUCAGUGGGGCUAGGGCACAGCGAGGGCUCUGAUUCGCGUCGUCCCCAGCCAGUUAAUCUCCUCAUUCAUCCUAUUCAAUCUGUUGCUUCUCUUGAGCCAAUCACAGCCUUCUACACUUCUUGCGGCUGAUAGGGUCUCGGAUGAACAGGUGAUGUUCUGUUGAGGAGGAGGCGUCAAAUCUUUUCCCCUCUGCUUCGAUGAGAAGUUCCCGACCAGAAUUCCCUAAAUCACAGUCACUAGAAAAGUUUCUUAUUUCACAAAGGGGAAGUUGCCGCACUACAGUCCUGUUGAAUUCU